GGGGAAUAUUGGACAAUGGGGGCAACCCUGAUCCAGCAAUGCCGCGUGUGUGAUGAAGGCCCUAGGGUUGUAAAGCACUUUCACUGGUGAAGAUGAUGACGGUAACCAGAGAAGAAGCCCCGGCUAACUUCGUGCCAGCAGCCGCGGUAAUACGAAGGGGGCGAGCGUUGUUCGGAAUUACUGGGCGUAAAGGGCGCGUAGGCGGCUCUUUAAGUUAGGCGUGAAAGCCCCGGGCUCAACCUGGGAACUGCGCUUAAGACUGGAGAGCUAGAAAACGGAAGAGGGUAGUGGAAUUCCCAGUGUAGAGGUGAAAUUCGUAGAUAUUGGGAAGAACACCAGUGGCGAAAGCGGCUACCUGGUCCGGAUUUGACGCUGAGGCGCGAAAGCGUGGGGAGCAAACAGG
rnacentral:rRNA from 1 species